AGUGAACGCUGGCGGUAGGCCUAACACAUGCAAGUCGAACGGCAGCACAGGAGAGCUUGCUCUCUGGGUGGCGAGUGGCGGACGGGUGAGGAGUACAUCGGAAUCUACUCUGUCGUGGGGGAUAACGUAGGGAAACUUACGCUAAUACCGCAUACGACCUACGGGUGAAAGCAGGGGAUCUUCGGACCUUGCGCGAUUGAAUGAGCCGAUGUCGGAUUAGCUAGUUGGCGGGGUAAAGGCCCACCAAGGCGACGAUCCGUAGCUGGUCUGAGCGGAUGAUCAGCCACACUGGAACGGAGAAACGGUCCAGACUCCUACGGGAGUCAGCAGUGGGGAAUAUUGGACAAUGGGCGCAAGCCUGAUCCAGCCAUACCGCGUGGGUGAAGAAGGCCUUCGGGUUGUAAAGCCCUUUUGUUGGGAAAGAAAUCCAGCUGGCUAAUACCCGGUUGGGAUGACGGUACCCAAAGAAUAAGCACCGGCUAACUUCGUGCCAGCCGCCGCGGUAA
rnacentral:rRNA from 1 species